UUCCCCCAUCUCCUCCCCACGACCAUUCUUUGAGUUGGUCCGUUGAUCUGAUAGUGAGCCGAGUGGAACUCGGUUCUGGUGGUCAGAGCUUCGGUGCUUAGGAGAUUGAUUGGUGGAGGUGCUGUGUUGGUGCUUCUCAAAGCUGUAUUCACCGAGGCUCACCCGUACUUGCAGUGGUGGUAUGAUUAAGGUGUUAUAUCGCCGUCUUCUUCUCACCGGUGGCAACUGACGGGUGAUUGGAUUUCUGGGACAACGGCUGUGAAGCCGUGUCUUGUCUCGCUUAUUGACUCUUUUGAUUGCAUAUCACUACAAUUCAAAUUGUUAUGAUAAUUAUUGGAUUGAUCAGAGAACACAAUAGAAGAUUGAUUAACAUAAUGAGGCUGCAUUUCAGCCUAUGUAAGAAAGUCAAUAUGCGACAGAGGUGUCCAAAUGCAUGGGC